rnacentral:misc_RNA from 1 species
AUCGGUCAGGUACCGUAAAAAUUCCACCGUUGCGUCUCAGAUUGAUUUUGGGACCGGAAUUCCCAUUAUCGGUUACCGGUCUAUGGGUGCCAAGCCAGGAAGCUAUAACGGCCAUCUUCGUAAAUUAAAAAAAAAUUGGUAAAAUUAGGGUUUCAGUUUCACUCGGUCUCUAUUUCUCUUGGAAAAUCAAAACUUGAUCAAAACCCCGCCUUUCACUCCUUUUCUCAUCAAAUUCUCCACUCCUUUUCACGAAUCUCUCCUCACUUCUGCGAAAUUAGCACAAUUUUCACAUUCAAGGUACUCUUCCUCUCCCUCUCUGCUUGCGUCCUCUUCUAAUAUGUACAUUUAUGUAUACAGGUGUAUGUAUGGUG